AGGACAACAGACAAUCUAUUUCUGUGGAUUACAUUUAUUUCAAUUUUUCCCCCAAAAUAAUUAUACAAUACAAAAUUGUUUUGCAGCGGCCUGGAGAAAAUGGUUUGAGUAGAGGUCUGUCGUGACAUAAAGUGCUUUUUGACAUCCAAUGUUCCGCUGCUUUGCAGUUUGAUUUUUAUUUCCACCCCUCGUGCGUCUACAGGCUGCUAAGUAAACUAUCAAAAUGAUGAGCCCCAGAAAAGACUGGGGGCCUCUACAACUGAACAGAACGCCAGUGAGGGUCAUAACCCAAAAAAAAUACAGAAUACUGUCGUUCAACCAGAAAUACAUUGUGUCAAAAAAAAGUCAAAGAACAUCUGCAUAGAUUUGCUAGUUCCAUUUUCAGAUGGAAAAACCAAAUGCAAUUGAACAUUGAGUUAAGGUGUUAGUUUUUCAGGGAUUGGUUCAUUCAUCUUUCAUUCUGACAGUAUUUGUGGUUUUGAACGGUUUCCAACAGCCUGACCGCCAGGUAGCCUGAAAUCCAGUCAUCUUGUGCUAACAUUCCACUCCUUAACAAUCCCUUGUCAUGUCAAACAGUGGAACAUCAGGCUACCGACCAGGCUGUCACUGACUGAGAACAGUCUGGGUGCAUCUUAGCAACGAGGGAACAUCAACUGAAUCAUACCAUGUUAUUAUUAAAAACAAAAGGCUUGAUCAUGUUUCAUCUGAAACCCUAUCAGGCUUUACGAGAGCCCACCCACACAUUAGAAAAAUUGAGUUGGGAGUCAGGAAUAUGGUGUAUAUCAUAGCAAAAGGAUACUUGGGCCUUUCUCUGUAGGGGGACUGAAAUGGGUCCUACUUCUCAGGGUUCAGAGGUUAGUCCUACUGCUCAGGGUUCAGAGGUUAGUCCUACUGCUCAGGGUUCAGAGGUUAGUCCUACUGCUCAGGGAUCAGUCCUACUGCUCAGGGUUCAGAGGUUAGUCCUACUGCUCAGGGAUCAGUCCUACUGCUCAGGGUUCAGAGGUUAGUCCUACUGCUCAGGGUUCAGAGGUUAGUCCUACUGCUCAGGGAUCAGUCCUACUUCUCAGGGUUCAGAGGUUAGUCCUACUGCUCAGGGUUCAGAGGUUAGUCCUACUGCUCAGGGUUCAGAGGUUAGUCCUACUGCUCAGGGAUCAGUCCUACUGCUCAGGGUUCAGAGGUUAGUCCUACUGCUCAGGGCUCAGAGGUUAGUCCUACUGCUCAGGGAUCAGUCCUACUGCUCAGGGUUCAGAGGUUAGUCCUACUGCUCAGGGAUCAGUCCUACUGCUCAGGGUUCAGAGGUUAGUCCUACUGCUCAGGGUUCAGAGGUUAGUCCUACUGCUCAGGGUUCAGAGGUUAGUCCUACUGCUCAGGGUUCAGAGGUUAGUCCUACUGCUCAGGGUUCAGUCCUACUGCUCAGGGUUCAGAGGUUAGUCCUACUGCUCAGGGUUCAGAGGUUAGUCCUACUGCUCAGGGUUCAGAGGUUAGUCCUACUGCUCAGGGUUCAGAGGUUAGUCCUACUGCUCAGGGUUCAGAGGUUAGUCCUACUGCUCAGGGUUCAGUCCUACUGCUCAGGGAUCAGUCCUACUGCUCAGGGUUCAGAGGUCAGUCCUACUGCUCAGGGUUCAGAGGUUAGUCCUACUGCUCAGGGUUCAGUCCUACUGCUCAGGGUUCAGAGGUCAGUCCUACUGCUCAGGGUUCAGUCCUACUGCUCAGGGUUCAGAGGUCAGUCCUACUGCUCAGGGUUCAGUCCUACUGCUCAGGGUUCAGUCCUACUGCUCAGGGUUCAGAGGUUAGUCCUACUGCUCAGGGAUCAGUCCUACUGCUCAGGGUUCAGAGGUUAGUCCUACUGCUCAGGGUUCAGAGGUUCAGAUGAAUCACUUUAAAGACAAAAGGUCUCAAAACAGAACCACUAUGAAUGAAACCUAAUUUGCCUUUAAUUAAAAAAACAUUUGAAAAUAGAUUUGUUUCCUUCGUCGGAGCAAAUUACCAGGGAAGAUGGUAACAUGAGAUCUGCAUAAUACAAUACAAGUCUUACUAUAAGACAAAUGACCAACAAAGACGCAUCGGUUCCAAGAUGCCAGAAGAAAUGGUCAACAUACUGCCAUCAAUCCUGGCAGGCUCUGUCCAACACACAGCGGAGGGUCUUGUUUCUUUGCAACGUCUUGUUUUUCUACUGCUUAUGAAGCUGCUGGUGACUGGUUGCAGCCUGUAUUCUACGUGAAAGGCUUCACUUAGGCUAGACUGGUCUAUCGGUUAGAGCAGAAACUGUGUGGUAGCGCUUACUAGGGUCUACCCAGACUUUCUGUAGUAGAGAUGGAUUUUAUGUGGUCCACAUUCAGACAUUCAGACUAAAACAAAAGUCUAAACUAACGGAUGGAUUUGGCUUAAGAUGGCACUAGUCUAGAUUUCUGCGACACACAAUUGUUCAACGACGUUACCAGCACAACGAAAAACAAUAACAGCUUGUGUUUCGAUCUGAACAAGAUACAGGCACAGUUAAAUAACCACAUUCAUCUCCUCUCGCUCUCCCACCUCCGCCUUUCCCUCAACAACAUACUGUUCCCUCAACCACAGAGUUCAAUAACGAUCCUCUGAACGAGUUCAAUAACUAUCCUCUGAACAGGGAAACAGAACCACUGUCUAUUCCCGCCAACAAUGUUGAAACUUUAAAACCACAGUAAAACAAAUAAAAACAGAAGCUGAACAGCCGGAAGAACAGCAGCCCUGGCACGGUAUAGUAAAUAUGCAUCCCAAAUGGCACCCUAUUUUCUGGAUAGUGCACAUAGAGCCCUAUGGGUCCUGGUCAAAUGGCACCCUA